rnacentral:lncRNA from 1 species
UAGCCUGAUGCAUUGGUCUAGUUUUCUCUCACCCCAUUGGACUUCAUUUGGGUGGCUAACUCUCAAGAACCAAUCCUUCCAUCCCACGGUAGGACUAGGCCAGGAACGAAAGGAAUCCUUCCACAGAUCCAAAGAAAAAUUCUUGGCUCUAAAAGGGAUCCUAUUGGUUUCUGCAUUAAUAAAAUUGGUGGGAUCUGGAUUUCCUAAUGGACCAAGACAUUGGAGAUGUGGCUGAUCGGUAGGGAUGACGAUGUUAUUGGACAGGUCCUAAUGGUUUUGAAGGCAAAAGAAGAACAAAAAAAGAAAAAGAAGAAUGUUUAGUAAAAUAAAUUGCGGAUGAACAGGGAUGCAGGAAAAGCACAAAAGGUGGAAUGAAGAACUGACCUCAGGGACGGUGAAGUUGAUGGCCAUCUCAUCACGAAGAGGAUGAUCGAGGGCUUUGGAGUUGGUGAAGAAGGGGUUUCGUUGGAGAUCUUGGAGCUCUCGAACAGCGCCGCCGCCGGGAAAGUGGAGUUGGAGCUAUGGAAUGAUGUGAUGGGGGAGGAGUACCCAAGAAGGAACUAUUUAUAGGACAAAACGGGCAAGGGUAAAUUUGACUUAUCUCUUCGCCGUAUCCGUAAAAUCCGAGGGUACUCAGGUCGAUAUGGUAACUGUUCGCGCGG